UAUCUACACCGUGUGUAUAAAGUUUAAUUAUCUCUGAGAGCACGUGAAGGCAACGUGUCACACGUCAUCACGUCAGGCUGUUACCAUGGACACGGAGUACUCUCAACGCUCGAGACGUUAGUGAGCUAAACAGAAAAGAUCCUCCAAACAAAACCCGUUAAUUUCUGUAGGACUGGUCUGAAGGUGGACCAGGCAGACGGGCUGUGUCCAGAGUCCUACAGAAUUAACUUCCCCGACGAGAGUCGACUGUUGGCCAUCGGCGACAACUUCCAGCGUCAGUAUUCACACUUGUAUCCCGACCGCAAACCGCUGCUGCUCUGCCCCGUCAACGAAUGUGGCGUUAAGGUAAAAUUAACAAUCUCAAUUUACUGGACGAGUUUCUGCAUCAACUUUCUUCUCUUUUCCUCUCUCGGGAAGAGAAACGCCACCUCGUCCCUACAUCAUCAAACAGCCCAUAUAGGAGACACGGGACAAUAUGAACUUUAUGUCACCAUUAUCCACAAUAACUGAUUUACGACAUUAUCCUGAUAAUCCUCAAAAUAUGCAUAAAAGUAUUGAAAGUCACUAAAACAUUCUGGAAAUCACUUAACAUUGAAUUUUGUAAAGAAACAAACAAAUAUUUUUAUUGCAUCACAGAUAGAACAUCUUUUUAGUGAAGUUCAACUUCUUGCAUCUCAGGCUCUCUUCAACAACGCUCAAUAAAUAUGUUUAAAAAAAUCACACACGUCAAAACAAAAAGAGAAUCUAAAAUAUAAACAAACAUUAAAUAUAAAAUAUAUUUAUAUAAAUUAGACAGUGAACAAAAAAAAAAAAAAAAAUUAAAAACAGAACAUUCUUAAAUAAGGUAAUCAAAAGUUGUACAUGCUCCUCCAAAGUGCGAAA